rnacentral:rRNA from 1 species
ACGAAGGGGGCUAGCGUUGCUCGGAAUGACUGGGCGUAAAGGGCGCGUAGGCGGCCUGGACAGUCGGAUGUGAAAUUCCUGGGCUCAACCUGGGGGCUGCAUCCGAGACGUUUGGGCUGGAGUGGGGAAGAGGGUCGUGGAAUUCCCAGUGUAGAGGUGAAAUUCGUAGAUAUUGGGAAGAACACCGGUGGCGAAGGCGGCGACCUGGUCCUUGACUGACGCUGAGGCGCGAAAGCGUGGGGAGCAAACAGGAUUAGAUACCCUGGUAGUCCACGCCGUAAACGAUGUGUGCUGGAUGUUGGGCGGCCUAGCCGUUCAGUGUCGAAGCUAACGCGGUAAGCACACCGCCUGGGGAGUACGGCCGCAAGGUUG